rnacentral:lncRNA from 1 species
AGAAGGAAGCCCAAACAUGAUAACAAGGUGUAUCAAACAUCCGUCAAACGAUCGCCAGGGGGUCCACCUCGGAGGAACUGGACCCCACUAACAAUCAGCAGAGGCGAGCUGUUUGAAAAACUGAGGAACAGAGCGGAUCUGCCCGCUCCUCGCUCUUUGGACCCUGCAACCAAGGAUCGCCGCCAGGAAAGUGGAAAAUUCUGUGAAUUCCACAAGGACCACGGCCAUCGGACAGAUUGUUGCAGGGAAUUCUCGCUUUAUGUCGAGCAAUUAAUUUCGAACGGCGAGCUUGACAAUCUGGUCAAAAGAUCCCGGGAUCGAAACAAUUGCAAGUCUGACGUGAAUGGGAAGCGCCCACGCUCUCCCUCACCAGACAGUGACAAUGGCGAGGAUCACACACGGAAAACCAUCCAUAUGCUAUGCGGUGGUAGACCAACAAAAAGGCUAGCAUAACUAAGAGGAAUAGGAAUAAGCUGUCACCCAAAAGUCCUUGCAUCUGGCACAUGGGCAACGUACAGCAACAUCGCACUUAGUAUCAAGCGCAUUAGAGUCUCUUAGUCUAUGUGUUAGUUUAAAAAUUACAAAUCUUACUGUUGUAAUUUGCAUCUUUCAAUA